UAUUUGUCAGGGGUUCAGGAGCAGAGGCACAGGAAAGGGAGGAAAUAGAGAGCGAGGGGGAGGAGUCCGAAGGAAAUGUUAGCGAUGACAGCGGUCCGAGGUCUCUGAGUCUUUCCAGCGAAUCGGAAGAUUCACAGAAAGGGGCUCCCUUGGUCAGAGCAAGGGGGGUGCCGAGGGGGACACCCCCGGAAGAAGGGGCCAGAGGGGACUCAGAGAGCAGCAGUUGGAAAUCAGGACCAGCGUCCACACCAGAGUGCAGUAGGGGGGAGGGGUCCCAGGCAUCGGGAUCAGGCGGCGCACUGCCAGUGGGAGGACAUGAGUCAGGAUUGGCCACGCCUCCAUCGGGGAGCGAGGAAACGGUCGAGAGGAAGGUUGAAGGCUGGGCGCGCGCGCCAAGUUCAAAUGUACAGGAGGGCGGCGCAGUUGGCAGCCCGGAUAGGGAGCCAGGUCCCAAAGCCCGCCGAAAAGAGGGGGAGGAGUCAGGGGGUCAGCGUCAGAAGAAUCCAGGAAGGAAGGGACCCCGGGGGGUAGCAGGACCCAGAGGAGAAAGGAGAGACGUAAGAGGUGGAGUAAGGCUAGAAUCUUAAACUGGUGUACAGGGGCGGAGACUCAGAUGGAGCUUCGCCGAUCUAACCCCUAGACGUAGAGCUGGGGCGCUGCGGCUUGAAAAUGGAAACUGUACUUCAAUAAAGACUUUUGUACAU